rnacentral:rRNA from 1 species
UCGAGAAUCUUCGGCAAUGGACGCAAGUCUGACCGAGCGACGCCGCGUGUGCGAUGAAGGCCCUUGGGUUGUAAAGCACUGUCAGAGGGGAGAAAAACUGAUCGAUCCUCAGAGGAAGCACGGGCUAAAUUCGUGCCAGCAGCCGCGGUAAUACGAAUCGUGCGAACGUUGUUCGGAAUCACUGGGCUUAAAGGGCGCGUAGGCGGGCGGCCAAGUCCGGGGUGAAAUCCCACAGCUCAACUGUGGAAUUGCCUCGGAUACUGGUCGCCUCGAGGGAGAUAGGGGCGUGUGGAACGAUUGGUGGAGCGGUGAAAUGCGUUGAUAUCAAUCGGAACUCCGGUGGCGAAGGCGACACGCUGGGUCUCUACUGACGCUGAGGCGCGAAAGCUAGGGUAGCGAAGAGGAUUAGAUACCCCCGUAGUCC